rnacentral:sRNA from 1 species
GCUGCUUCUGAUGCGGCAUAAGCUUCAUAUCAAGGCACCUUUCUGCAAGUCCGGGGCUGCAAUCACACCUCGUUCACGGCAGUACCUUAAAACUCACACCUUUCUCAUAGGACAUGAAAUUCAUUUUAACUCACUUUAGGUCUACAGAAAUUCACUUUCUUAAUGCCCAUCUUCUGCUGGGAAAACGAAGGCUCCCUUUGCCCACCUAGAGUGUGUUUCUGUCAGUCCUGAUGGAAGAAGUCUUUGCUACUGCCUCCAGUACAAUGGCGACUGGUAGAAAUGUGUCCCGGGAACUCUUCUGUUUGUGCUGCUACCAAGGGUGCAAGGUCUCUGGUGAAGCAUUUAUCAGGGGAUAGCACGAGGACGUGGGCGCAAAGGCCUCUGGGUGGAGCAGUUAACUGGGAGUGGCACGAGGAAGCGAACGCCUCCGGGUGAAGCAGUUGUUCAGGUCACAGAAAGCCUGUUGCCCCACACCCAAAUACAGUGGUCGGCCCUUGGCACUAACCGGCCUGUCCUAGUGUUAGCACAGUGCAUCACUGCGUCUUCUGUGAUGCUGUGUUCAGCUGCUCCUGGUGAUUCAUUCUAGACUUUACCUCAUGUCCCAGUGGCUACUUCUGAGUCCGGCUUGCUGAGACUCCUGUCUGAGAUUAUUUCUUCUGCUCAAAAAGAAUACUCAGGAUGUAGCAAUGGAAAUAGAAAACUUCAGGAGUAAACUUGGAUUGGCCUUACCACUCUCUGUGUGUGUUCUGGCAUGCUGGGAGGUCAUGUCUUCUAUAAACAUGUGAGGUGACCACUCUUGGCAUUCUGCAGUCUGGCGCAUUGACAAUCUGGUAGCUGGAUAUGGAUGAAGAACCUGUGGAGAGGGGACAGAAAAGGUGGGCAACUUUUGCAA